CCCUUAGAUGUUCUGGGCCGCACGCGCGCUACACUGACUGACUCAACGAGUUUACAACCUGUGCCGAAAGGUAUGGGUAAUCUUUUGAAAUUCAGUCGUGAUGGGGCUAGAUUAUUGCAACUAUUAAUCUUCAACGAGGAAUGCCUAGUAAGCGCGAAUCAUCAGUUCGCGUUGAUUACGUCCCUGCCCUUUGUACACACCGCCCGUCGCUCCUACCGAUUGAAUGGUCCGGUGAAGCCUCGGGAUUGUGGCUCGUUCCCUUUAUUGGGAGUUUGUCGCGAGAACUUGUCUAAACCUUAUCAUUUAGAGGAAGGUGAANUCGUAACA
rnacentral:rRNA from 1 species